UAACGCGAAGAACCUUACCAGGUCUUGACAUACUAUGCAAAUCUAAGAGAUUAGACGUUCCCUUCGGGGACAUGGAUACAGGUGGUGCAUGGUUGUCGUCAGCUCGUGUCGUGAGGUGUUGGGUUAAGUCCCGCAACGAGCGCAACCCUUAUUAUCAGUUGCCAGCAUUCAGUUGGGCACUCUGGUGAGACUGUCGGUGACAAACCGGAGGAAGGUGGGGAUGACGUCAAAUCAUCAUGCCCCUUAUGACCUGGGCUACACACGUGCUACAAUGGACGGUACAACGAGUUGCGAAGUCGUGAGGCUAAGCUAAUCUCUUAAAGCCGUUCUCAGUUCGGAUUGUAGGCUGCAACUCGCCUACAUGAAGUUGGAAUCGCUAGUAAUCGCGGAUCAGC
rnacentral:rRNA from 1 species